GGGGAUGUUUUGGAUUUGACUAAAAAAUUUAGUGUUGUAAGUGGCAAGCAGAGUGAAUCUCUUAAAUCUUCUUUAAUAAAUGCAAAAAAUAAUAACUUUACAAGUUCAAAUCUUGUAAUGGCUGCUUAAGUUAGCAGAGGGUUUUGUUGAAUUUUGCUUUGAGAUUCAGUGUAUACUCUUUAAAGAUAUCAAAGCUUACUUAAAAAUUUUUCAAGUUGAUUUUUGAGGACUUUUAAACUUGAGAGUAAUUUGGUGGUUUGCUAGUUUGUCCAAACCUUAUUACUUAAGAAAACACUAGCUAAGCUUGUAGAUGCUUAUGAUGUUAUUUUUAGGACGCGGGUUCAAUUCCCGCCAUCUCCAUUA
rnacentral:tmRNA from 1 species